rnacentral:lncRNA from 1 species
CACAAUUGUGCUUUUUGAACGAGUGACAGCCUUAAUUACGCUCCAUGAUGCAUGUGUGAUGCAACAAAUUAGGAUUUGCAUGCUGAUGCUACCUUUGGCCAUGUCCUCAACUGCCACUUAUACUUAUCUCCCUCGAUAUGCAUUCUGAUCACUUAGCACUCUGGGGGCCCUAUAUAUCUGAGAGGUGAGUAUUCAACCGCAGGGUGUGCCUGCAUGUUGGGUUAGUGGUUGCUCUACAAUAUAUUGUGCAGCACCAUGAUGAGUAAAGUCAGGCACGGCUCAUCCGUUUGGUGAGAAUUCAGAAGUUGUGGCUGCACAACAACUGCUGCAGAACACCUCAUCCGUAUUGGCCCAUCCGUGGUGGCCCAAAGUGCACCCGAAUCAAAGGGUCAUCCGUGUUGGCCUCGCAGCCAACAUGGGAACACAUGCAUAGUAUAUGUGCUGGCUUUCCAAGAAGCCCAUCAUGGAUAGUAUCCAUGAUAGGCUUCCCUUUGCACCAGCAUGGAUACUAUGUGUAAAGACAUCUGCCCUCAAUAAGCCUUGAUUUGAAUAACUAUGAUAUGGGCACUACCAUUUGACCGGUGUUGAUACCCACCUAAGGAAGUUAUUUCAUCAUGACCUGAACUUAAAUAACAAAAUAAAUCAUCUUUCCACACACACAGAAGCUGUAUGUAUAUUCAUUUACAUUUUCAUCUCCUUUUAUAUCAAAACAUGCAGAAGAAGUUGAGAAACCAUCAAAGGUCCCAAGGAGCAAUUCGAUGCGCAUGAAGGACAAACAUAGGCAAGUACUUCAUUUGAUACUAUGUUAUGUAAAAUUAAUAAAUCUUGCAUUGAAGGAUUUCUUAUCCUAAUGAUUUUGGGCCACGGUUGCACCAAACAACAACCACCCUCUGAUCUUCAACAUGAUUGUCUCUUGCCACAUGCUCGAGCAGCAUGAUGUGUGGAAGAGCAAGUAGGGCAUGGCGAUGGUUGCAUAUAUGUACAGGGAUUACUUAUGUCCUUGUAACACCACAGCUAUCUACAUCUCGUGGUUUUGCGCUCAGUCACUACAGUUUCAUGCUCCUAAGAUCAGUGGCGGAUGCAAGCAGUAGGGUUAGGAUGGCUCAUCUCUCCUCUUCCUCCUCCAUUUCCCUUGCUUCUUCUUCUUUAUCUCUAUUUUUUCCUCCCUUCCUCUCCCCUUAAUCUCUAUUGACACAUUACCGGGGCGGAGGCUGCAACCCUCCUGCACCCCUUGGAUCCGCCCCUGCCUAAGAUGAUGAUGAUGAUAAUGAUGAUGAUGAUGAUGAUGUAGCGCCUACAUUUAUUUUGUGCUAGUAUGCCUUCAUUUGCUGCUUUUGAUAUGCUUUGUGUCACUCCUAAGGUUGGUGGAAUGGGAGGGUAAUUUUUCUCCAUAUCAACAAAUUGAGAGGCCUAUGGUCGUCCCAAGGAGUUGUAUUGAUGAUGAUCAUGAUGAUGAUCGAGUAUGUGUAAUUAAGUUGUUUCUGAUUGAUAUAUUGGUUGUUUGUUGUGAUUUAUAUUGUAAUAUUUAAGCUGUAUUGAUGUUUGCUUAGAUUUUUUAUUUUUAUUUUUUUAUCUUCAUUAAGUAUUUGUAUCGGCUUAGAAAAGGGCAGGCACGAAUAGGUAAUUAUUCAUAUACCAACAUUAUCUACGGAGCAGCAAGAGUAAGUAGGGAUAAGUAGUUAUAUGUGCUAGCAUACUAUAUGUGCCCACAUGAGUAAAUAGCUAUAUAUUCCUACCAAAGGUAGUACAUGCACCAACACAUCUAUAUAUAAGCCCACUCACAAUAUAGCCCUUCUCCCCAAUCCUCACUCUCUUCCACCACUAACCCAAGCCCACCUUUUACCACCACAACCACCUCCUCCUCUCCCUCUCCUAGCCCUAGACCACUCAUUGAUGCUAGCAUCUCUCCCUCCUCAUUGCCUCUAGAUCUUCUUCCUCUAUCUCUAGAUCCAAUUACCACCACAUCAUCUUUCUUGUCCUUCACUACCAGAUCCACAAUAUCCUCCUCUUCUCAUCUCUUUGACCCGCUUCCUUCACUGUUGGAUCUACCACCUCACCUCCUCAUGAUGAACCACCUCUACAAGAGGGAAGCGAUAGUACAUCACUACAACACAACUUCACAUCUACAAACACUAUUGUUAUCUUCUAGAGACAUUUUUUGUUAUCUCUACACAGUCAUAUAGUCAUUUUCUAAAAUGUCACAAAGGUGCCACUAUAGGCAAUGUCUCUUGGAAUGAAGAGACACUUUUCUAAGUGUCCUUAUAUUCCUUAAGGAAACUUAUAAUGAUACUACGUCAUGUUUCUAUCCUCUAAGUGCAUUAGAAAUAUAUUGAAAAAAUAUGGUAUGUUUUGAGUGAUGGGUCUUCAAACUCAAUACCUCAUGCUAUUUUUCAUAUAUAAUACUCAACCUACUAGCCAACUCAACCUCAAACCAAUUGUUGCAUAUUAUUUAAUAUAAUUUUUAUGGGUAGUUCAUUAUAGUGCCUCAAUAGUCUAAAUAGUGUCUCAAGGUAUUAAAGUAAAUGACUCAAACUAUUUCUUUAUGGGGGCUAAGGUCGAAAUUUAAAGUGUAUCAAAGACAUCCCUAACUAUUUAUAUUGACAUUUUACAAAAUGACUUAAGAAAAUAUCUCUACAGUUCAAAAUGCCUAAAGUAGUGUCUCAAUACGUGUGACACUUUCUCAAGUGCCACAAAAAGUGUCUUUAUAAUACAUUAUGACUUAUUUAUAAGGAUGAACCAUAAAAUGCCUAUACAAAAGUGUCUCUAUACGAGGUUUUUGUUGUAGUGGUAGAGGAAGUAACGAAUGUUGCCGUUGUUACAUUGUCAUAUGUGGUGACAGAGGUUACCAUGGUAUAAGUAAAUCCUAGUCAGUCAUCAUUAUUUAGGUUGUGGCACGCGUGAUCCUAGGACAUGCGGUAGAGGGAAGCCUUGGAGGCUAUGGUGGUUGGCUGGUUGCAGCUACCACUAGCAUGUAGGCUAAGUACAAAAUGUGAUAGCACUAUGGGGGCAUCACCGGGCUCCCUCCCCUCCACUUCCGUUACUACAAUUGGGACCCUUGUUAUUGAGGUGUUGAUGGAGUCAGUGUCAAUGGUGCCUGCACCAUCAUAAUUACAACCAAGUAAUAGAUAUGGAUCACCAUUUGGCAAGAAGUAGAUUUAUAAACUAAUUUCUCUGGUGCUCCUGUGAGAGAGUACUUAAUUAUGAUUGUUUUGUGAUGAUAAUAAACCAGUAUUUUUAGUUAAUUUGUAAUGAAUUAUGAUUCGGAUAAACUUAUAGUUGAUUCAUGAUGAUGAUGAUCUACUACUAUAUAUAAUAUUGAACUAAUGCAUUCCAUGUGGCGAUGAUAAAUUUUUAGUUUUUUUGUGAUGAUGAUGUAAAAUAUAGUUUGUUUGUGGUGAUGAUGAACUAGUUUAUGUGGAUGCAUGAUGAACUUGUUAUAUUUGCAAGUUUGAUCUUGUUAUGUUAUGCCACAACACAAAAUGAUGAAGUCAUUACAUCAAGUUGUUAUGAACGCCUACCAUAUACUCUAGUAUAUUCAUAUUGAAUCUAUAUAUAUGUGUUGUGUGUGCAAUUCAUUCAUUACAGAUAUGGUGGUCUUGGCUUCAUCUUCUAUUAUAGUACUAUUUUUGCAAAUUAUGAGUAUAUAGAUUAGUGGCACAAAGGACAAUAAGCAAUGUGCCAAGUGUUGUAUAUAGUCUUCCUUAGAUGCCUAUGCAUAUUAGAGAUAUUAAAUGUAUCUAAUAAGGUAGCUUGAUUUUUAGAUACCUUUAAGGACCUUAGGCCCAAAUCCUUUGAAUUUGAAUUGUUUUCUAUUGGUUUGUUUGUUUUCAAGCAUUAAAUUUGAUAUCAAUGAUGAGUAGUACCAAGUUACAUACUAUUGGUAAGCAAGUUUAUUGCCUUGACAAAUAGCAAAUUUAUGACAAAUUAAGUGGUAACCGGUAAAUCAAGGCACAAAUGAUUUAAAUCCCAUGUGUUAGAUAUUGCAAUAAUUGUUAUUUCAAUCUCCUAAUAAAUGUUGGUUUGUCUCUAAAUAAUGUGAAUAUGAAUUGUAGUUUGUAUAUGAUUCAUAUUGUCAAUUUGCAUUUUUCAGGGUCUCCCAACCCUAUUUGUGGCAGCAUAUUAGCGCUAGCAGGGAUACACUAACAUCCAUACAUGCAUCUAUUUAAUACUGGUAGGGAUACCCUAAUAUUUUCCCAGCCUGUUUGGCACCGGUAUGAAUAUUUUAGUAUCCAUGCUAAAAAGGAUAAUUAUCUAUGCUCGCUUUGGCAAUGCGGCACUGGUACUCGGACUCAUCCAUAUGGCCUACAUAAUGCCGGUUCAAUAACUAGCAUGGAUGAUGUUAGGACUGAACACAAAUGAGGUGUCGUGUAAGCUUUAGUUGGCGAUAAGGCACGAGGCCUGUGGGCUGGCCCACAGCUCAAAAUUUUGGCCCGGUACCAGCCUGGCCCAGCACGAUCUUAGCCAUGCCCGUGCUGGCCCAGCCCAUCCUUACUGCUAGGCCUGGGCUGCUGCGUCAGCCCGUGGGCUAGCCUGGCCCAGCACGAUUAACGGCUGGCCCACAAGGGCAUGAUGGAGGCACGUUUAGCUGUACUUCUUAUAUGUGCUUGUAUGUGCAAUGCCUUUGAAUAUAUAUGUAUAUGUGUUUGUAUGUAAUAUAUCUCUAAAUUUUUGCCUUUGAAAAUCUAAUUUGAUGAAUAGAUUUUUUAUAGCUAAGCGGGACUAGCAUGGGCACGAUGUGCCUUCAGGGUCUGACGGGCCACCGGGCUGGCCCGGCA